UCCUGCCAAUAACAACUUUAUGAGUUUUUAAUUGCGUGUAUAAAAUAGUCGUAUUCAAUGGUUUAGUUUUUGGUACAUAAAUAAAUGUAUGUUGAUGACAAUCUCUAGUUAACAUUUUAUUUGAUAUUAUUCUCAAAUUCAAACAUGUCCAUCCAUUAACAUGAAAUCAGAUGAUCUUAUAAAGGUCGAAAAGUUAUUGUGUACAUAAACUUACAAAACAUUUAUUGUAUACAUGAACCCUGCUAAUUUUCUAUUUUAUACCAAAACCGGCUAAAGGCUGAUAUGGGCCCGGUUGUGAUGACACGUUGCCUAUAAAAACCCAGUUUUCCCCAUUUUUUCACAUAAUCUUUUUCCCUCCCCUUUUUCCCCCCUUCUUUUUUUCUCCUUCUUUCUCCCGCUCUGAAGCUUCACCCAUCACCACCAUGGCAUCUUCUUCAUCAUCAUCGGCUGCUACAAAUCGAGGAGAUAGAUACAUAGUAUGUCAUUGUGGCCAAAAGAUGAAAUUGAUGACAUCAUGGACCAACAGAAACCCGGGGAGGCGUUUUGUUUGAUGCCCUAAUGUUAAAACCCGAUACUGUACCACCUUCAGAUUCAUUGACGAUGAGCUUCCUAGUGAGUACUACAAAGAUUUAUUGUUUGAUCUUUGCUUACAGGAUCGUAUGAAGGUGGAAGCUGUUUUAAUGGAAGAGGAUGAGGCGUCUUCAGUGAAAUUAACGUUUGGUUGCUUUUAAAGAUUUGUAUAUGUAUGUACCGGAUUUCUGGCCAUGUUUUUCGUUGUACUAGCUUUUGUUUUGAUGAACUAAUGGUCAUGUUUAAUUGUCAAAGUAA